rnacentral:misc_RNA from 1 species
GAUGAAGAACGUAGCGAAAUGCGAUAAGUAAUGUGAAUUGCAGAAUUCAGUGAAUCAUCGAAUCUUUGAACGCACCUUGCGCCCUUUGGCUAUUCCAGAGGGCAUGCCUGUUUGAGUAUCAUGAACACAUCAACUCUCAUGGUUCUGCCAUGAUGAGCUUGGACUUUGGAGGUCUUGCUGGCCCCUGUGGUCAGCUCCUCUCAAAUGGAUCAGCUUGCCAGUGUUUGGUGGCAUCACAGGUGUGAUAACUAUCUACGCUUGUGGUUUUCCACCAGGUAACCUUCAGUGAUGGAGGUUCGCUGGAGCUCAUAAACGUCUCUCCUCAGCGAGGACAGCUUCUUGAAUGUUUGAUCUCAAAUCAGGUAGGGCUACCCGCUGAACUUAAGCAUAUCAAUAAGCGGAGGA